rnacentral:lncRNA from 1 species
AUAUGCAUCUGCCACUGACUUAGAAUAGAGUGAGAAAGUGUGCGUUCUAGAGAGAGAAAGCGCAAUUUACAGGCUCAUAGAUGGAGCCUAGACAGAGAGAGAACAAGGGUUUUUAGUUCUCUCGCAGAUCUGGCAUCGUCGAGUGUAUGCGUUAAUGGAGAGAGAGAGAGAGAGAGGGGUGGGGUAACGAGGUUAAGGUACAUGGUAACUACUGUUAUACGGUGCGGUAUAGCUAUUCGUGUCCGUUUAAUUGAGAUUUGACGGUGGUGAUCUCAUCUCACUAAUCAUCACAUAAAACUUCGAUCUUAAGCAUGUUAUAAGUGGAGGAGAUAUCACUGGACGGUGUAGAUCUAUU